GGGCCCAUAGCUCAGCCUGCUUAGAGCACAAGACUCUUAAUCUUGGGGUCAGGGGAAGACAUAAGCCGAUGCUUUGGUCUCUUGAAUUGAAAUCCCCUUGGGCCCA
rnacentral:tRNA from 1 species